rnacentral:rRNA from 1 species
AUUGAACGCUGGCGGCAGGCCUAACACCUGCACGUCGAGCGAGCGGCGGACGGGUGAGUAAUGUCUGGGAACCUGCCUGAUGGAGGGGGAUAACUACUGGAAACGGUAGCUAAUACCCCAUACCAUCAGAUGUGCCCAGAUGGGAUUAGCUAGUAGGUGGGGUAACGGCUCACCUAGGCGACGAUCCCUAGCUGGUCUGAGAGGAUGACCAGCCACACUGGAACUGAGAGACGGUCCAGACUCCUACGGGAGGCAGCAGUGGGGAAUAGUGCACAAUGUGCGAAAGCCUGAUGCAGCCAUGCCGCGUGUGGGAAGAAGGCCUUCGGGUUGUAAAGCACUUUCAGCGGGGAGGCGUUACCCGCAGAAGAAGCACCGGCUAACUCCGUGCCAGCAGCCGCGGUAAUAC